GUUGCGCUGCUCAUGUCUCUCCCCCCUGCCAUGUCCACCUAGAGCAGGCAAAAGCUGUUUUCUUGUUAGAUUAUUGGCAUAAGUACAUGUGGUUGUUGGAUUAGAGACAUCCAUGCUUAUGUGAUUGCUAAAUUGGGCUUAUGGGUAUAUUUAUGAUUGUGUGAAUCGGUGAUGCACAGAUCUGUUUGUGAGGAUGCUUGUCAAUUAUAUAUCUCAUAAUUUCCUUUUGCAUGUGCACAGUCUGAUUAAUUUGGGUGGGAGGCGAUUGUUAAAUAGGCCAUCAUGCAGGAACGCAUAUAAAGAGCAGAUUGCUUAUUUAGUGUUAUUUAUAAUCAUGUCCUCUAACUGAAUUGAUAUUUCGGCAGUAAUUAAAUGUUAGUACAAUCUAAACAUAUCCAUGUUGCUGGCUUCAGCCAAAUUAAUUUGGGGACUAUUAACCAAAAUACUGACUGUGAAAAAUUAGUCUGGAUAAUGAAUUCUGCAUUAGCUUCUCUAUGAGCUGCGCCACUGAGAAAAUUCAUGUGUUAGACAGUUCACUUUUAGUAAAUGCAUGCCAACUGAAUUCUGUAUUAGUUUCCCUGCCAGCAGCAUUACUGAAAAGGCGGUUCUUCUCUAUGCGAGUUCAACGGAUUGCUUGGGUGAGAUUUUAUUAGGAUAAUCUCAGAGGCUGCAAACAAUCAGUAGAGUUACUCAUAGUACCAAUGGUUGUGCAAGUUUUCUUCAAUUAAUUUUGAGAUGUGCUCGUCCUUACCGAAGAUAGUCGUGACCAAUUUCAGAACUGCAAACCAUUGAAACAUUGUUGGUAUGAAUUGGGCUUGGUAAAUACUCGAUCGAGCAGCUCCUUUGUUCUACAUUUUGGUUCAGCCUUACACAUUUCACCGGAUAUCUGAAUUUAAUUAGAUGUAUGUAGAUAGAUACUUUGGCGUACAAGGACCCAUUGUACUCCUUUUUUUGUAGCCUCACAAUCAGUCCAUAUACAUGUUCUAGACCGUACAAAAUGGUGUGGUGGUAAUAAACUAAUAAUCAUGGCACCUUUACUGCAUACGACAAUAUGCAUAUACCCGACCGACGUUGUUGCUUAUGUACUUGUUGCUAAUGUAUUGGAUUUCACGAUGCUGGAAAUGUUUUGUUGUCACUUGUUCAGAUGGGAGGAGGCCAUGCCAAAUGGUGCGUGUGUGGCUGGCUUUGUUCAUUAGGUGUGCGUGUGGGAAAGCAGGCUCUCGUGGACUUUUCUUGCAGGCUACAAUAGACACAUCAAUGAUGCAUAUGGAGACAGAAAACACGAACCAAACAGCUAAUUAAAUUAAGCUCAGCUCUAGUAUUUAGUUCUUGGCGCCUGUGAGUGACUCGAGGACAAGCAGGCAGAAGCAGAAGCGGGGUCACAAUUGUGCAGUUUUAUGAAAGAAACAGAAAAAGAAAUAAGAUGCGGUAAAAUUUUGGUGAAGAACAUUUUUCCAUAGCUUGUGAACAUGUCGGUCCUCCGAUUUUAAUUUUUCAUGAUUUGUGGUCCAUUCAUGCUUUUGAUAUUCAAUCGCUUUAUUUGUUUACAUCCUACUAAGAAGUUGCACGGUCUACAAUGAAAGCAUAACUGGAGUUCCAUAAAUAGUACAAAAAUGAGGCUGGAGAAUGGAUCUCAAGUUCGAAGGCAUGUCACUUCCAUGAGUUUUCACUUGUUCAUAUGUGAUGCAUGUUCUUUUAUAGUUCCCAUCUUGCCCCAGUAAUGAUUCGGAUGUUCUUUUUUUUGGCAUGGAACGCAUUUUAUCUCAACGAGUAUUCUUCUUUGAGUACCAUAUUCAUCCAUGAAAAAUGGUGUACUUAAUCUUAUGACUAUUAGUUGUACACCUUUAAACAGUCAAUUCUCUUCAUGCUAGAUUUGCAGUUUACUUGAUAAAAAUAGGAAAUACUGGUUAUUUAUGACUUAGCACUAGCAGAUUGUCCCAUUUUUAAUUUGGCAUAUCAGCAGUAACAUUUUCUUGUUAAAAUCUAGGCAACCUUUGUAAAUAUCAUAUUACCAUGCAAAGCUUUUAAGAGCAAUCGGAAUAGAGGUCUAACCCUUCAUCAGGGUUAUAUUUCCUGCUAUGAUCUUCUGAUUGUCAUGUCAUUUUUUGUGUUGUGAGCGGCUUUUCUAAACAUAGUAGUACUAUUUUUGACAUAUGCAAGAGGGCCUUCGCCAACUGAUGUAGCAAAAAAAAUGUAUGUAGGUGAUUUAUACUUUCUGAAAAUAAUUCCUUCUGUUCUGAUUUUUCAUUAGACAUUGAUUGCUAUUUAUGCUUCUUUGGCAGUGACAUCAUAGUUAAUUUGCAUUUUAUAUCUUUUAGCUUCACUGCCAAAUACAACGACUUUGAUUUAUUCGUACCAUUGGGCUGCAGGGAAAUAUUACUAUAUGUAACAUGUAUUCUUUUCUUAAACUGUUGUUAUUGCUUCUCAUUUCUGAAAUUUAUUUGUUAAUGCAGCUUCAUUCUGAUUUAUGUGAAUAUAAGCGUCUGAGGUCCAGUGGCAAUGCUACAAAAUCAUUCCAGACUUGAGUAUCUGGAUCACACUACUACUGGUCAUAUCUUGCGGUUCAUACAGCGGGCUUAUGACAGAGCAAGUCAUGGCCUCAUGGCAUGGGGUCCCUUUCUUCAGCCAACUGAAGCACUUGAUGUUAGCUUGUCUUUGCUUUUGGAUAAAUUCUAGUGCAUAUUCUAAUAAUAGAUCCUAAUGUUAUAGCAUACACCCAUAUUGAUGUACAUGGUGAGACUAGGACCAAACUUGGGAGUAGUCAAGGGGCAGCAAAUUGAUGGUUACAACAUGACCUGGAAUUGCUUUGCGUUCCUGGAAUCCAAUUGGCUGCCCUAAAAAUGUAUUGCAGCAUCUUGAAUCCGCCAGUGUUAUUUUGUGUUAACAAGACUUUUAAGGCUUGCAUUUGUGCCACCAGUGCACUUCAUGUGAUGAUGCACACAGAUUUCUUCA